GACGAACGCUGGCGGCGUGCUUAACACAUGCAAGUCGAACGGAAAGGCCCGGCUUUUGUGGGGUGCUCGAUUGGCGAACGGGGGAGUAACACGUGAGUAACCUGCCCUUGACUUUGGGAUAACUUCAGGAAACUGGGGCUAAUACCGGAUAGGAGCUCCUGCUGCAUGGUGGGGGUUGGAAAGUUUCGGCGGUUGGGGAUGGACUCGCGGCUUAUCAGCUUGUUGGUGUGGUAGUGGCUUACCAAGGCUUUGACGGGUAGCCGGCAUGAGAGGGUGACCGGCCACAUUGGGCCUGAGAUACGGACCAGAAUCCUACGGGAGGCAGCAGUGGGGAAUAUUGCACAAUGAGGGGAAGCCUGAUGCAGAAACGCCCCGUGCGGGAUGACGGCCUUCGGGUUGUAAACCGCUUUCGCCUGUGACGAAGCGUGAGUGACGGUAAUGGGUAAAGAAGCACCGGCUAACUACGUG
rnacentral:rRNA from 1 species